GGCAAGGUGGCCGAGCGGUCUAAGGCGCCAGGUUCAGGUCCACCUGAAUUUCCAAUCUUGAAAGAUUUUCCUGGUCUCAGUAAUGGGGCGUGAGUUCGAAUCUCACCCUUGUCA